rnacentral:rRNA from 1 species
AUUGAACGCUGGCGGCAGGCCUAACACAUGCAAGUCGAACGAGUGGCGCGCGGGUGUGUAAUGUCUGGGACACUGCCAGAUGGAGGGGGAAAACUAGGGGAAACGGUAGAUAAUCCCGCAUACCAUCGGAUGUGCCCAGGUGGGAUUAGCUAGUAGGUGGGGUAAUGGCUCACCUAGGCGACGAUCCCUAGCUGGUCUGAGAGGAUGACCAGCCACACUGGAACUGAGACACGGUCCAGACUCCUACGGGAGGCAGCAGUGGGGAAUAUUGCACAAUGGGCGCAAGCCUGAUGCAGCCAUGCCGCGUGUGUGAAGAAGGCCUUCGGGUUGUAAAGCACUUUCAGCGAGGAGGCGUUACUCGCAGAAGAAGCACCGGCUAACUCCGUGCCAGCAGCCGCGGUAAUUC